UAGAUUGACAACUACAGUGUGUCAGUUUAACUACAGUAGAGUUUCCCACAUAGUGGGUCAGAAUCCACAUGGUGAGUUGUAGCAAGUUUCUACAGAAUAAACAGGUAAUUUAUGAAAACUUUGGGUGGGAUAUGUGUGACUGUCUGGGUUCCAACACAAAAUGUUUUGCCUUCAUGGAAAUGGAUGAGAUCAAACCUGGUCCCAUUGUGAUCGAGUUGUACAAGAAGCCUACUGACUUCAAGAGGAAGAAGCUCCAGCUCCUGACCAAGAAGCCACUCUAUCUCCACCUCCACCAGACGUUGCACAAAGAUUAAUAACCGAGGUCACAGAGUAGAGCACAUCAAGAAAGCAGCAGCGCCACAGAAUUCCACUGUAGUCAUCAGACAUCCAGUAAAGUUUGGUGUAGCGACUCCCUAUCCGCCUCCACUCACAUCAACAAUACUAAACCCAGCAGGCCCAAAUGCCACAACCUCAACUCUGUGAUAGGACGGCCCUGGAUGACACAUAUUAACUACAGCGGUGACAACACACUACUGUAUAAUGCUGCUUCGUAACCCAGUGGGAGGUGGGAAUUUACCAGUUGUGAAGUCGUAAAUACCAGUUGGAUGCAUUCAACUUGUUGAGAAAAGAUCAUUUGGCUAAUGGCCAACAAGCUGCCUAAACCAUAAACUAAAAGCUAUCAUGCUGGUAAACAAAUGAGUGUUAAAAAACAUAUUAAUAGAUUGCUUUUUAUAAAGAAUGUUUUGUUGCAUUUAAUUGCAGAAAAAUGCUGUUAUCCAGGUCAUUUCCUAAAUGGUGACGUCAGAGGUCAGCAUGUGGGAGAAGUGGGAGCUCAGGAUGAUGUAUGAGUUUCCCACUAGUAAUUACCAGUUGGAGGGCCUUUCAAAUGGUAAAUUCCCACUUGGUUACAAAACGCAGUAUUUGACCCCUCUGGUGCCAAUUAGCGAUCACUUUUUUUCUCCUCUCUGCAUGAUGCUCAAUGGAAAAGAAGAGUUGAGUUAGCAAUUGGUACUGUAUGUCAAACAACCAGCCUCGUCUUUAGUCUUCCUCUGCCUUUCCCUUUGGGGAUGAAAGAGGAUCAACAUGAUCAUAGGUGCUCAAGCGGUCUAUUGAUGAUGUCAUAUCCUGGUGCUGACACUGCCACAGUGAAAAUAUAUAACUGCCCUGUUCAUUUACUUACAUCCUUAUCCCUGAUCUGGCGUUAUUUAAUAGGUAAAAGUAAUAUAUUGGGAUAUUUGCUUCAAGGAUGGGAGGAAGGAUGCAUAUUUUUUAGCAUUCAAAAAUGAUUCUGAGAUGCUAUGAUGUCAUCCUGUUAUAAAGGGAGUUGAAAAGGAUGCUGCAUGUAACUGAAGUUGACUUUUACCUUUGUUUUGAAUGCUGUUCCCAUCAAGGACACACUGGCUAACCACUAUUAAAACAUUGUCUCCAUUUUAUUCAUAUUUUUUUUGUAAUGGCACUAACUGAAUACACUUAUGGUGCUUUCAAGACAACUGGGAACUCUGAAAAGAAUUUGGUCAAAUCAUGACGUCAGUGAUCAUCGGGUCGAAAAGUCAGAGCUCUAGAAAGGUGCCAGAGUUCCCAACGUGGAAUUCCGAGUUGGAUGACUUAAAAGAUUUCUCCCAGUCGGGGCUUGUUUUUUUCAGAGUUCCCGGUUGUCUUGAACACACCGAAGUCGGAUAUUUCUGAGUUCCCAGUUGUUUUGAACACGGCAUUAAGAGACACUAAUCAGUGCAUAUUAUUGUGUGUGCUGUACGACAGGGUUGACGAUUGUCAAUACAGUGUUGUGCUUUUGGUAACAGGUUGUGAUAAAAUGAACAUUUAUCAUUGGACUGACAAUUUACACUGCUUUCAUUUUUAAUAAACAAAAUGCUGUUUGAA